rfam:Oscillatoriales cyanobacterium JSC-12 chromosome, whole genome shotgun sequence.
GGAGAGGUGGCAGAGUGGUCGAAUGCACUCGACUUGAAAUCGAGAGAUUGGAGACAAUCCGAGGGUUCGAAUCCCUCCCUCUCCG